CCAGAAAAAUAUUUAAAAUAUGAAGCGAAAUACAUAUCUUUAAAAUUUUGACCCCAUGUAGGGUUAAUCGGCAAAAGGACAAAAAUGUCCCUCACUUAAUUGGCCCUAGAGGUGACCCCCAUUCCAAUUUCAAUUCAUUUUCACCCUAGAAUGAUAGAGAACUUGAGAGAAGAGAAGAACAGAAACCUUAACUUUACUAUUCACUUUCAUCUUUAAAUCCACUUUUCUCACAGAUAGAGCUCCGAUCGACGAUCCGUUUACAGCUACGCGUUGCUCUCAGCUCCCUCUACGUUUCUGUACCACUUUCGCAAGUUGAUUGAAGCUUGGAUUGGUGAGGAACUGAUUGAAGCUUAGAGUGGCCAGAGAAAAGGUUUUAAGAGGUUGGGACCGCCGUCAACUAAGAAUUGGUGACCAAACUAGGUUCCCUGCACACACACGAUGUCUGCGUACUCAUGCUUUUGGAUUCUUGCGUAUGCAUGAAUUCAACUUCCUACAUAUGCACUAUGCCUGCGUACACAUCAUUCACACGCCCUCAAGGGACCGAGAUAGGUUCCGUGUGUACGCACUGAUGCCUAGGCAUCUUUGGCUA